UGCAAAGAAAGGCCAGGUAAAAGCACAACAGGAUUUGUUCAACAAACAUUUAUUGAGCAUCUGUGCUUCACUUGAGACACAUUGAUGGACAAGUAAAGUUUUUCUGUCCUAGAGGGGAUGACAAUUCAAUAAGACCAAGAAGGCUAUGAGUAAAUAAUGGCUUUGGCUUUCAAAUAAUGCAUUCUCCAAAUAAAGACCAAAAGGAAAGACUGACCAAAAAGUUGAAUUCUG